AAUUUGUGACAACGGGGGAAACCCUGAUCCAGCCAGCCCUCGUGUAUGAUGAAGGCCUUCGGGUUGUAAAUUACCUUGGGCAGAGAAGAAAAGGUACUGCCGAAGACGAGGUACGGCUCACGGCAUCUUCAGAAUAAGCACCGUCUAACUUCGUGCCAGCAGCCGCGGUAAUACGUAGGUUGAAAGCGUUAAUCGGAAUUACUUGGCGUAAAGCGUGUGUAGGCAGUUCGGAAAGAAAGAUGUGAAUUCACAGGGCUCAACCUUGGAACUGCAUUUUUAACUGCCGAGCUAGAGUAAGUCAGGGGGAGGUAGAAUUCAACGUGUAGCAGUGAAAUGCGUAGAUAUGUGGAGGAAUACCGAUGGCGAAGGCAGCCCCCUGGGAUAAUACUGACGCUCAGACACGAAAGCGUGGGGAGCAAACA
rnacentral:rRNA from 1 species